AUGGACGCUGGCGGCGUGCCUAAUACAUGCAAGUCGAGCGAACGGACGAGAAGCUUGCUUCUCUGAUGUUAGCGGCGGACGGGUGAGUAACACGUGGAUAACCUACCUAUAAGACUGGGAUAACUUCGGGAAACCGGAGCUAAUACCGGAUGAUAUUUUGAACCGCAUGGUUCAAAAGUGAAAGACGGUCUUGCUGUCACUUAUAGAUGGAUCCGCGCUGCAUUAGCUAGUUGGUAAGGUAACGGCUUACCAAGGCAACGAUGCAUAGCCGACCUGAGAGGGUGAUCGGCCACACUGGAACUGAGACACGGUCCAGACUCCUACGGGAGGCAGCAGUAGGGAAUCUUCCGCAAUGGGCGAAAGCCUGACGGAGCAACGCCGCGUGAGUGAUGAAGGUCUUCGGAUCGUAAAACUCUGUUAUUAGGGAAGAACAUAUGUGUAAGUAACUGUGCACAUCUUGACGGUACCUAAUCAGAAAGCCACGGCUAACUACGUG
rnacentral:rRNA from 1 species